rnacentral:lncRNA from 1 species
CCAUUUAUAAGGGUAUAUAAAUUAUUUAUAAAUAAUCUAUAAACUUUUUAUAAAGGGUAUGUAAACAAUUUGUUUGUUUAUGGCUUUAUAAAGUACUAGGAUAAGACCUGUCCUUUGCGCAUGGUGAGUUUAUUUGUAUAUAUUAUCAAUUAUUUUUUUAUAUAUUUUAUAAUUUUAUUCAUAUAUAUACAAUUUUUUUUGUUGUUAUUAUAUAAUUUCUUUCAGAUGGACCGGAUCAAUUUUAUUAAAAAUUGUGAAACUAAAUUAUAAUUAAUAUAUCAUGGGUUGAUCAGAUUGGACAUUAAACAAAUUAUGGUACAAAAAUCUUAUUUUUUCCACC